UUUAUAAAAAAUUAUUUUUUUUUAUUUUAAUAAAAAUAAUUUUAUUAAUUUUUUUUUAGUAUUGUUUAAAGAAUAAAUAAUUUUAAUUAUAAAGUAUUAGUAUUUAAAAAGAAAUUUGAAAUAUUUGAAAAUUUAUAAUUUUAAAAAAAAUUUUAAUUAAGUGUAUUUUGUGUUUCAAAGUAAAUUAAAUAAAAAUUUAUUAAAUAAUUUUUUCGAAUUUUGAUGAUUUAAUAAAUUAUAAAAUUUAAUGUGUAAUAAUUAUUUUAUAUAUUUUAUUGGUAACAAAAAAUUAAACGUAUCAAAAUAUAUCUAAUUUUUAAAGAAAUAAUUUUAAAUUAAAAUUAAAUAUUUAUUUUAUUUAUUAAAUAAUAAAAUAAUAUUUUUAUUUUUAUAUAGUAAGGGAUAAGCUUUAUUAUAAAUUAUUAAAAAUUUAUAAAUAAAUAAAAAAUAAUAAACUUAAUAUUAGUUAUUAUUAAAAAAAAUGUCAUAAUUUAUUUUAUUUUAUUUAAAUAUUUAUAAAAUAUUUUAAUUUUUUAUUAAAAAAUAAAAAUUAAUAUAAUAUUUUUAAUUAUAAUGAUUUAAUUAGUAAUUAAUAUUUUAUAAUUUAAAUAAAAAUUUUAAUUAAAAUAUAAGAAUUCAGCAAAUUUUAUAUUCACUUGUUUAUCAAAAACAUGUCUUUUUGUUUUAAUAAAAAGUCUAAUCUGCCCGGUGAAAUAUUUAACGGCUGCGGUAUCUUGACCGUGCAAAGGUAGCAUAAUUAAUUGUCUUUUAAUUAAAGGCUUGUAUGAAUGAUUGAAUGAGAUAUAAACUAUUUUUAUUUUAUAAUAAAUGAAUUUUAAUUUUUAGUAAAAAUGCUAAAAUUCAAAAAUUAGACGAGAAGACCCUAUAAAUCUUUAUUUUUAUUUAAUUUUAAAAUAAAUUGAAAAUUUAAUUUUUAUUUUAAAUAAAAAUUUUAUUGGGGUGAUAGUGAAAUUUAAUAAACUUUUAUUUUUAUUUUAUUAAAUAUAUUUAUUUUAUUGAUCCAUUAUUAAUGAUUAAAAAAUUAAGUUACUUUAGGGAUAACAGCAUAAUUAUUUUAUAAAGUUCUUAUUGAUAAAAUAGAUUGUGACCUCGAUGUUGAAUUAAGAGUAAUUUUAGGUGUAGAAGUUUAAAUUUUAAGUCUGUUCGACUUUUAAAUUCUUACAU
rnacentral:rRNA from 1 species